rnacentral:rRNA from 1 species
UACGAAGGGGGCUAGCGUUGCUCGGAAUCACUGGGCGUAAAGCGCACGUAGGCGGCUUUCUAAGUCAGGGGUGAAAUCCUGGAGCUCAACUCCAGAACUGCCUUUGAUACUGGAGAGCUAGAGUCCGGAAGAGGUGAGUGGAACUGCGAGUGUAGAGGUGAAAUUCGUAGAUAUUCGCAAGAACACCAGUGGCGAAGGCGGCUCACUGGUCCGGUACUGACGCUGAGGCACGAAAGCGUGGGGAGCAAACAGG